UUCAACGUCGUUGCAGACGAGGUUGUCCAAAGUUUUUCAAACAUAGCUCGGGUGGAAGAAGCUGGGGAUGUGGGAGUUGAUCAGUUUCUUCAGGUGUUGGGUUUUCGUUUGGCCUGUAUUGGCCGAAGUCAAGAGAA